GGAUGUGAGGGCGAUCUGGCUGCCACAUCUGUCACCCCACUGAUCUCCAGGGUUGAUUCCGCUGAUCUGGCUGGCUAGGCGGGUGUCCCCUUCCUCCCCCACUGUUCCAUGUGUGUCCCUCCUGAAGCUGCCCGCUGGGUUGAAGAGGACAGUCUUUCCUGAACAGAGACAAACUGAACCCGCU
rnacentral:snRNA from 1 species